GCAGAACUGGCGAUGCGGGAU
rnacentral:ncRNA from 2 species